GUCCAGGAUAGCCUAGUGGUUAAGGCAUCUGCCCGGUAAGCGGAAGGGCGUGGGUUCGAUUCCCAUCCCUUGACA
rnacentral:tRNA from 1 species